AGACGUCUACAUUAGAUACCCGCGUAGUCCCAGCCGUAAACUAUGCGCGUUAGGUGUAUCGGUGACCACGAGUUACCGAGGUGCCGAAGGGAAACCGUGAAACGUGCCGCCUGGGAAGUACGGUCGCAAGGCUAGAAACUUAAAGGAAUUGGCGGGGAGCACCACAACAGGUGGAGCCUGCGGUUUAAUUGGACUCAACGCCGGGAAGCUCACCGGAUAGGACAGCAGAAUGAUUGCCGGGCUGAAGACCCUGCAUGACUAGCUG
rnacentral:rRNA from 1 species